GUUGAACGCUGGCGGCAUGCCUUACACAUGCAAGUCGAACGGUAACGGGCCUUCGGGUGCCGACGAGUGGCGAACGGGUGAGUAAUACAUCGGAACGUGCCCGAUCGUGGGGGAUAACGAGGCGAAAGCUUUGCUAAUACCGCAUACGAUCUACGGAUGAAAGCAGGGGACCGCAAGGCCUUGCGCGGACGGAGCGGCCGAUGGCAGAUUAGGUAGUUGGUGGGAUAAAAGCUUACCAAGCCGACGAUCUGUAGCUGGUCUGAGAGGAUGAUCAGCCACACUGGGACUGAGACACGGCCCAGACUCCUACGGGAGGCAGCAGUGGGGAAUUUUGGACAAUGGGCGCAAGCCUGAUCCAGCCAUGCCGCGUGCAGGAUGAAGGCCUUCGGGUUGUAAACUGCUUUUGUACGGAACGAAAAGCCUUCUUUUAAUACAGGAGGGUCAUGACGGUACCGUAAGAAUAAGCACCGGCUAACUACGUG
rnacentral:rRNA from 1 species